CCCGCUGAAUUUAAGCAUAUUAGUCAGCGGAGGAAAAGGAACUAACUAACCAGAAUUCCCUCAGUAACGGCGAUUGAACAGGGAAGAGCCCAGCGCCGAAAUCGCUGCCCCGCGGUGGGGCGCGGGAAAUGUGGCGUACGGAAGACCCACUCCCCGGCGCCGCUCGUGGGGGGCCCAAGUCCUUCUGAUCGAGGCCCAGCCCGUGGACGGUGUGAGGCCGGUAGCGGCCCCCGGCGCGCCGGGCCCGGGUCUUCCCGGAGUCGGGUUGCUUGGGAAUGCAGCCCAAAGCGGGUGGUAAACUCCAUCUAAGACUAAAUACCGGCACGAGACUGAUAGUCAACAAGUACCGUAAGGGAAAGUUGAAAAGAACUUUAAGAGAGAGUUCCAGAGUGCCAGAGUUUCAGAGGGUUCCCCAGUAUGAGAGUUCCAGAGUUCCAGAGUUGGAGAGGGUUCCUGAGUUCGAGAGUGACAGAGUUCCUGAGUUCCUGAGUCAGAGGGUUCCUGAGUUCCUGAGUUGGAGAGUUCCAGAGUUGGAGAGUUCCUGAGUUCGAGAGUAAGAGAGUGCAUGUGCCGCCCCAAUGAGACAGCAGAGUUCUGUUUGGUGAUUGGUUUAGUUUGUGAAUCGUUGUUCCUGAAUAAAGAAAUACAGCUUCCCUGCCCAGCCGUUGUCUCCGCGUCUCUGUUAUCCACCGUGAAGCAAGCCAGGCCGGCCAGAGCCUUCCGAAAUUUUAACAACCGUGUCUCUCCCUCACAACCUCUCUUUUCUUUCUGUCUGAAAAAAUGG
rnacentral:ncRNA from 1 species